rnacentral:rRNA from 1 species
CCUUAGAGUUUGAUCCUGGCUCAGGAUGAACGCUGGCGGCGUGCUUAACACAUGCAAGUCGAGCGAAGCGGCUGAAUUGAUUCUUCGGAUGAUUUUCAGUUGACUGAGCGGCGGACGGGUGAGUAACGCGUGGGUGACCUGCCCCAUACCGGGGGAUAACAGCUGGAAACGGCUGCUAAUACCGCAUAAGCGCACAGAGCUGCAUGGCUCGGUGUGAAAAACUCCGGUGGUAUGGGAUGGGCCCGCGUCUGAUUAGGCAGUUGGCGGGGUAACGGCCCACCAAACCGACGAUCAGUAGCCGGCCUGAGAGGGCGACCGGCCACAUUGGGACUGAGACACGGCCCAAACUCCUACGGGAGGCAGCAGUGGGGAAUAUUGCACAAUGGGGGAAACCCUGAUGCAGCGACGCCGCGUGAGCGAAGAAGUAUUUCGGUAUGUAAAGCUCUAUCAGCAGGGAAGAUAAUGACGGUACCUGACUAAGAAGCCCCGGCUAACUACGUGCCAGCAGCCGCGGUAAUACGUAGGGGGCAAGCGUUAUCCGGAUUUACUGGGUGUAAAGGGAGCGCAGGCGGGAAGACAAGUUGGAAGUGAAAUCCAUGGGCUCAACCCAUGAACUGCUUUCAAAACUGUUUUUCUUGAGUAGUGCAGAGGUAGGCGGAAUUCCCGGUGUAGCGGUGGAAUGCGUAGAUAUCGGGAGGAACACCAGUGGCGAAGGCGGCCUACUGGGCACCCAACUGACGCUGAGGCUCGAAAGUGUGGGUAGCAAACAGGAUUAGAUACCCUGGUAGUCCACACUGUAAACGAUGAUUACUAGGUGUUGGAGGAUUGACCCCUUCAGUGCCGCAGUUAACACAAUAAGUAAUCCACCUGGGGAGUACGACCGCAAGGUUGAAACUCAAAGGAAUUGACGGGGGCCCGCACAAGCAGUGGAGUAUGUGGUUUAAUUCGACGCAACGCGAAGAACCUUACCAAGUCUUGACAUCCUGCGACGGACAUAGAAAUAUGUUUUUCCUUCGGGACGCAGAGACAGGUGGUGCAUGGUUGUCGUCAGCUCGUGUCGUGAGAUGUUGGGUUAAGUCCCGCAACGAGCGCAACCCUUAUGGUCAGUUACUACGCAAGAGGACUCUGGCCAGACUGCCGUUGACAAAACGGAGGAAGGUGGGGAUGACGUCAAAUCAUCAUGCCCUUUAUGACUUGGGCUACACACGUACUACAAUGGCGUUAAACAAAGAGAAGCAAGACCGCGAGGUGGAGCAAAACUCAGAAACAACGUCCCAGUUCGGACUGCAGGCUGCAACCAGCCUACAUGAAGUCGGAAUUGCUAGUAAUCGCAGAUCAACAUGCUGCGGUGAAUACGUUCCCGGGCCUUGCACACGCCGCCCGUCA